AGUGAACGCUGGCGGCGUGCUUAACACAUGCAAGUCGAACGAGAACGGGUUAUAGCUUGCUAUAAUUGUCAGCUAAGUGGCGCACGGGUGAGUAAUGUAUAGGUAAUAUGCCUCUUACUAAGGGAUAACAAUUGGAAACGAUUGCUACUACCUUAUACUCCUUAUUAACAGAAGUUAAAAAGGGAACGAUUUAUCGGUAAGAGAUUAGCCUGUAUUGUAUCAGUUAGUUGGUGGGGUAAUGGCUUACCAAGACUAUGACAAAUAACUGGUUUGAUAGGAUGAUCAGUCACACUUGAACUGAGACACGGUCCAGACUCCUACGGGAGGCAGCAGUGGGGAAUAUUGCACAAUGGACGAAAGUCUGAUGCAGCAACGCCGCGUGGAGGAUGACACAUUUCGGUGCGUAAACUCCUUUUAUAUGAGAAGAUAAUGACGGUAUUAUAUGAAUAAGCACCGGCUAACUCCGUGCCAGCCGCCGCCGUAA
rnacentral:rRNA from 1 species